UUACGGCCACAUCAUGUUGAAGCACCAGUUCCUCUACGAUCAGUGAAGUUAAGCAAAACCGAGGAUGAUCAGUAUCUAGAUGGGUGACCGCUUGGGAAUGCCAAGUGCUGUCAG